UCAUAAGAUCAGCAUACUAUUGUCCCUUACUUCGCUUGGACAAAAGAAAGUUACAAGAACUAGUAGAGCCAACAUUUUUGCAUCACUAACAUGAAUUUGAUUUUUCAAAGGUUUGCAGUGAUUAAGAUUUAAUAGACAAUAUUGAACCAUAGAGGAGUGGAGAGAGACAGUGACCAAUAAAUGGAAGUGGGACUUGUGAAAAGCAUGUCCAACAUGUAAUAGCUUAUUAGGGUUUUUCUUUCACAAGUAAAAUGAGUUCAUAAAAAGCAGGACUAAACCCCCCCACCCCCUCUCCUUCCCCCUUUUUUUGAUAGGCAAAUGUCAUAAAAAGCUCCAAAUGGAGCACCAACCCAAGUACAAAGGGAGCAUACCCAGACCAUCCACAGAAAAACAUAAACAAAACGAAUUGGAAACAUACCAAGCAAUUUUAUACAUUUUGAUAGAUAAACUAAGCUGAUGUAUUAAAAGCACUUGAAAAAUACCCACAAAGUACACAUGGAAUACACAAAUAGUGCCACCAAGCAAAUUCAUAUAUUAAGAAAUGUGAAAGUUUCUUAGGCAUCCCUGGUCUAUGUUAUUUUACACUGGGGGUAGAACUGUAGAGGAGCAUGACACUGUAAGAAAAUACUGCUUCCCAGACAUGUUCCCAUGUUCUCAUAAAGAGCCACUGAGGUCUAUGUUAUUUUACACUCGGGGUAGAGCUGUAGAGGAGCAUGACACUGUAAGAAAAUACUGCUUCCCAGACAUGUUCUCAUGUUCUCAUAAAGAACCACUGAGGCUAACCAUAUGUUGCCCUCACUGUCAUCUACUACUCCAAGGCAUUUUAGACACAUCAAAAUCCAGAUUCGUAUUGGUACCUAGAGACAUAAAGCCCUGUUCCUCUAACCAGGGACUAGGAUCUACUUUACUCAUGAAAAGAAAUCCGAGUCCUUGACUAGACUAACCAAUGCACUUCCAGAAAAUCAAC
rnacentral:lncRNA from 1 species